CUAUCUAUCUAUCUAUCUUUGUUCCUGUCUAUUUGUCUGCCUGCCUGCUUGCUGCCUGACCGUGCAUUGAUCUAUAGUUUUUAAAAUGACUACUGGUCUUUUGUCUGCUUCUUUAGUUUUUUGUACGAAACAGUCCGCAUGGCUUUUUAUUCAUUUUCGUUUCGAACGCUUGCUUGUCCAAGUCAAUUCCCUCAAGUCUAACCCUCUUAACUUUAGCUUCCUUCUCGUAAGUAUAUAUUUUCUAUUGCCUGACUUGAUCUUUUGUGUUUUUAUUCAUUUCGCUAGGUAUCGUGCCCAGCUUUCUGAGGACUCAAGAGAAAUUCAUGAGCUGUGAUGUUUUCAAUUAUCAAAAUGGAUAUUGUGGCAGUAGCACCACUGCCUCUGGUGACAUCUGCAAUAUAGUCAACGACUUCAAAGCAGUGACAAUCUGGCUCUAAUGGUGACAACCGCUCACAUAGAGGCAAGUAUUUUUGUUUGUAGUAUGAAUUUAAUAGCUUUUAUGAAUCCACCGAUCUCACAAAGAUAACAACAGUAGCAACGCUAAGAAGGAAUAUAACAUCAGGACGGCGAUAACAGAGCAAAAUUCACCUGUUGUAUUGAUAUUAUGCUAGAUCUUCUUCAAGCUUUCAACAACCUAAAAAUGUCGUAGGAGACUAAAGCAGUGCUCCCGUUGGCCGAUUAAUUUGGUCCACUCACUAAAUUUCAAAGUUGGAGAAAGAGUGAAUGGCAAUUCUUCUCGUCCAGUCCAGGACAUACGUUUGAUUCUCUCAGUCUGAAGCACUGAAUGCUGCCUACCCGGGUUCGAAACCAUCUAAUCUGUACGUGGAAGACCAUUACUGCCCUGCUGUCGAAAGUACAACACGCUUCACGAGAGGACAUUUUUGGGAAAGCAGUUACCCCAGCAGAGCUCUGUCAAAAACAACCGGACAGGAACUUUAUUUGGGCAGCAGUUACAUUGGACAGGAAGGAGAAGAAGACCAAACUUGAACAACCACCAAGUACCCAUGAAGAAAUAGCUGCACCAGCAUUAGAAACAGUUACACAUACAUAUACACAAUGACAAUGUAGGAAAUAUUUCAAUUUACCAUGGGAAACAGUCUCUCGCGGUUUGUAUACCGUAACCUAGAACUCCCUGGAUAUUACCAAAACAACUAGAAACAACUAUCAGACCAACAGCAGCAGCAGCAGCAACAACACCGACAACGACGACAACGGCAGCAAUAGCAA